rnacentral:rRNA from 1 species
GAUGAACGCUGGCGGCGUGCCUAAUACAUGCAAGUCGAGCGAACGGACGAGAAGCUUGCUUUUCUGAUGUUAGCGGCGGACGGGUGAGUAACACGUGGAUAACCUACCUAUAAGACUGGGAUAACUUCGGGAAACCGGAGCUAAUACCGGAUAAUAUUUUGAACCGCAUGGUUCAAAAGUGAAAGACGGUCUUGCUGUCACUUAUAGAUGGAUCCGCGCUGCAUUAGCUAGUUGGUAAGGUAACGGCUUACCAAGGCAACGAUGCAUAGCCGACCUGAGAGGGUGAUCGGCCACACUGGAACUGAGACACGGUCCCGACUCCUACGGGAGGCAGCAGUAGGGAAUCUUCCGCAAUGGGCGAAAGCCUGACGGAGCAACGCCGCGUGAGUGAUGAAGGUCUUCGGAUCGUAAAACUCUGUUAUUAGGGAAGAACAUAUGUGUAAGUAACUGUGCACAUCUUGACGGUACCUAAUCAGAAAGCCACGGCUAACUACGUGCCAGCAGCCGCGGUAAUACGUAGGUGGCAAGCGUUAUCCGGAAUUAUUGGGCGUAAAGCGCGCGUAGGCGGUUUUUUAAGUCUGAUGUGAAAGCCCACGGCUCAACCGUGGAGGGUCAUUGGAAACUGGAAAACUUGAGUGCAGAAGAGGAAAGUGGAAUUCCAUGUGUAGCGGUGAAAUGCGCAGAGAUGUGGAGGAACACCAGUGGCGAAGGCGACUUUCUGGUCUGUAACUGACGCUGAUGUGCGAAAGCGUGGGGAUCAAACAGGAUUAGAUACCCUGGUAGUCCACGCCGUAAACGAUGAGUGCUAAGUGUUAGGGGGUUUCCGCCCCUUAGUGCUGCAGCUAACGCAUUAAGCACUCCGCCUGGGGAGUACGACCGCAAGGUUGAAACUCAAAGGAAUUGACGGGGGCCCGCACAAGCGGUGGAGCAUGUGGUUUAAUUCGAAGCAACGCGAAGAACCUUACCAAAUCUUGACAUCCUUUGACAACUCUAGAGAUAGAGCCUUCCCCUUCGGGGGACAAAGUGACAGGUGGUGCAUGGUUGUCGUCAGCUCGUGUCGUGAGAUGUUGGGUUAAGUCCCGCAACGAGCGCAACCCUUAAGCUUAGUUGCCAUCAUUAAGUUGGGCACUCUAAGUUGACUGCCGGUGACAAACCGGAGGAAGGUGGGGAUGACGUCAAAUCAUCAUGCCCCUUAUGAUUUGGGCUACACACGUGCUACAAUGGACAAUACAAAGGGCAGCGAAACCGCGAGGUCAAGCAAAUCCCAUAAAGUUGUUCUCAGUUCGGAUUGUAGUCUGCAACUCGACUACAUGAAGCUGGAAUCGCUAGUAAUCGUAGAUCAGCAUGCUACGGUGAAUACGUUCCCGGGUCU